rnacentral:rRNA from 1 species
GAUGAACGCUGGCGGUAUGCUUAACACAUGCCAGUCGAACGGACUCUUCGGAGUUAGUGGCGGACGGGUGAGUAACGCGUGAGAAUCUGGCUUUGGGUUCGGGACAACCACUGGAAACGGUGGCUAAUACCGGAUGUGCCGAGAGGUAAAAGAGAAAUUGCCUGAAGAUGAGCUCGCGUCUGAUUAGCUAGUUGGUGAGGUAAAGGCUCACCAAGGCAGCGAUCAGUAGCUGGUCUGAGAGGAUGACCAGCCACACUGGGACUGAGACACGGCCCAGACUCAUACGGGAGGCAGCAGUGGGGAAUUUUCCGCAAUGGGCGAAAGCCUGACGGAGCAAUACCGCGUGAGGGAAGAAGGAUCUUGGGUUGUAAACCUCUUUUCUUAGGGAAGAACAAAAUGACGGUACCUAAGGAAUCAGCAUCGGCUAACUCCGUG